AGUGCCAUCUAACAGCCUCCUCAUUGCUUUUGCUAAAAAUGGUGUCAUGGUUUUAUGAUUUUUGGUUAUUGCUAUUCCACAUCAUAACAUCAUGUAGUGUACUGGGAGUUAAAGAGUUAAUGCUCCAGUUCUGUGGAUCGUGGAUAGUUCUGGGUACCUGGUUCUCAGAAGAGAAGAAGAGCUACAUUACCCAGAGGACUUUGCUGUUCUGUUACCGUUUUCCGCUGAGAGAGAAAGAUAAAACUGUUCGCAGAUCAUGAGACAUUCCCUCUUCUCUUCCCAUCUCUUGUCCCAGCAGCAUAUCACUCCCCAGCCAUCUCACCUUCAGCAAUUAGAGUAAGGCCUCUUCAGUUUUUGGACACUCUCUCUCAUUUUAUUGGAUUUAUUAGCUUAAGUUGUAAUUAUACUGCAUUAUAGUGUGUUAUUUUGCAUUCCGUUAUGUUCCGUAUGUUAUUUGCAACUAAUUUAGUAAAUUUGUUUGUUUCUCCUCAGAUCGUUCCCGCUGUUUUGUUUUUAGGCUCAUCUCCCUAUCCUUUUUCCCUUUUCCCUUUCCUGAGGUGUGGGCCCAUGGGUCCCCUGCCCCAAGAGUCACGGAACAGGGCCGAACCUGCCCGUAAACCGUUGACAGAUGGCAUCUGCUGUCAUGUGCCCACUGCUCUCCACCCACUGCUCACUCUUGCUGUGCUUCCAGCUCUCAGCCUCUUCUGAGGUAAUGCUUUCCAGACUGUCGCAUGAGGAAAGGCAACACAGUGAGAGGAUGAUGAUGAAGGCCACUGAAGAAAAUAGUGUUGCUCUUAAAAUCAAGUCCAGAAAAGAUUACAGAGUUGUUUCUGCAAGGAGACCCAGCAUUCUCAGUGCCAUCAGCAAAAGCUGGCAAACCUCUGCUAUGAUGGACAUGUAUACAUGAAUAAUGCCACAGAAACGCAAGCAGAGACCACAGAAAUACUCAACAUUACUAUAAUCUAAAUAUGAAGAGGAAUUGAUAAAAUGAGCAAAUUUUUCUGAGCUUUUUCAGAUUGUAUGUCUCUGGAAACAUGCUCUGCAAAGAAGAACCAACAGAGGCAGCUUUUUCAAAGCAAAGAUGUGAGCAGAGAUCAUGCUUAUGUCACUGAGUGACAUAAAUAAUUAUGUUCUGCAGUUAAAACUUGCCCAAACUAAACUGAUUCUUGUACAAUCUGACAUUUCCUGUCUUUUGUGAAACCAAAUAAAAUAUAUUUAUGAAUCA
rnacentral:lncRNA from 1 species